GAUGAACGCUGGCGGCGUGCCUAAUACAUGCAAGUCGAGCGAACAGACGAGGAGCUUGCUCCUCUGACGUUAGCGGCGGACGGGUGAGUAACACGUGGAUAACCUACCUAUAAGACUGGGAUAACUUCGGGAAACCGGAGCUAAUACCGGAUAAUAUAUUGAACCGCAUGGUUCAAUAGUGAAAGACGGUUUUGCUGUCACUUAUAGAUGAAUCCGCGCCGCAUUAGCUAGUUGGUAAGGUAACGGCUUACCACGGCCACGACGCGUAGCCGACCUGAGAGGGUGAUCGGCCACACUGGCACUGAGACACGGUCCAGACUCCUACGGGAGGCAGCAGUAGGGAAUCUUCCGCAAUGGGCGAAAGCCUGACGGAGCAACGCCGCGUGAGUGAUGAAGGUCUUCGGAUCGUAAAACUCUGUUAUUAGGGAAGAACAAAUGUGUAAGUAACUAUGCACGUCUUGACGGUACCUAAUCAGAAAGCCACGGCUAACUACGUG
rnacentral:rRNA from 1 species